ACCUACGGGAGGCAGCAGUGGGGGAUAUUGCACAAUGGGGGAAACCCUGAUGCAGCGACGCCGCGUGGGUGAAGAAGCGCCUCGGCGCGUAAAGCCCUGUCAGCAGGGAAGAAAAUGACGGUACCUGAAGAAGAAGCCCCGGCUAACUACGUGCCAGCAGCCGCGGUAAUACGUAGGGGGCAAGCGUUGUCCGGAUUUACUGGGUGUAAAGGGGGCGCAGACGGCGAUGCAAGCCAGGAGUGAAAGCCCGGGGCACAACCCCGGGACUGCUCUUGGAACUGCGUGGCUAGAGAGCAGGAGGGGCG
rnacentral:rRNA from 1 species